rnacentral:lncRNA from 1 species
GGGGAAUCCAUACAUGAAGUUUCAGGAGAUAUUCAGUGCAGCCAAGCAUGAACUCUGGUGGAGCUUUUGGCACCAAAAUACAAUGCCUGAAAAAAAUGGUGAUGCCUGGAGAGUCUCAGAUGCCUAUAUCAGACACUGGUGGUCUGCAACCUGUGUAAAGGCUUAGAUUCAACCCUAAGUCACACUCAAGGCAAUUUGAGGUGGGGAGAGGGAGAUACUGGGCUCUCUGUUUAUGUGAUGUUUGUGUUCUGCAUGUAUUUCAUGGGAGGGGUGUCUCCUUAAAAAGAUGAAAGCUCUGAGUGGACAGCAGUAGCUGCAGGGCAUAAGCAUAUUAAUCAUACGCUUCUCAGUGACAGUGGGCUGUCUUCUGUCUCACUUUAAUACCAGCACCAAAAUGACUGAGGUUUAACUACAGCCUUAUCAUAGAUUCACUCAGGUUGGAAAAGAUCUCUAAGAUCAUUGAGUCCAACCGUUAACCUAACAUUGCCAAGUCCACCACUAAAUUAUCUCCUUAAGUGCCAUGUCUACAGCUAGAGCUGAGGAACCUAAAAGCAGGAGAGCAUCAGCUGUGAACUCUCUUCUCCCUUCCCUCUCCCCACCUGAGACUUGUGAAGCUUUUACAACACAGGGGCUAAUGGGCCAGCAGGUCUGGGUAUCUGCUAAUGUUGUUCUGCUGAAGGGCAGGAUGGACACUGGGGGAAGGAGUCACUAGCAAAAGAAACAUGCAAAGGCCAGUGGGCACACUGAUCAUGACAUUCAGGCCUCUGGUGGGAAGGAAUGGGCCUGAAUCAUUUUAAGAUACAAUUCAUUUUAGGAAAUGAAGGACAAACUGGAGUCGGUGUUAUUUUAUUUGCUCCAAUAAACAUUUGAUUUACACAAAACAAAACAGACCAAAACCCCCCAAACAGUUUACAAAGCAAGUUAAGUGCUUGAAACUUUCAAUAUACAAGGGUAUAUAUUGUUCACAUUCCUAUUUCAUACAUGAUGUACAGGUGAAAUAUUCCUUAAAAGAAUAAAAUUGUCCUUUACAUGUAGUAGUACAAAAACCCCCAUAAAAUGUCAGUAUUGUCAGGAACUACCGGACACCAUUCCUUGACCUUCAGCAUGGAUGAAGGAAGAGAAACGGGCUGCAGUUCGGGCAGCCGAGGUGCAUGGCUAGAGGGCAGUGGACCCUGCUCCUGCAGCCCCUGCUCGCAGCCCUUGCCUCUGCCCGCUUCCCUAUUUCUAUGAAAAACAUCCCCUCCCUAAAAAAUUUGACAUAAUAUCCUCUGAAUUCCACUGUAGCUGUUGAGGUUUUGCCCCGCUCUGCUUAAAUAUUUCUGAGUAGUUUGGUUAAAAUGAAAGGAAAAGAAAAAAGCAGAUACAAAACCAUUUCAAAUAAAAUAUUUGUCAACAUAAACCUUAACUCCUAUUUGAAUAAGCAUGAUUUCUAUUGACUUACACGGCAAUGUCUUCUAGAGAAAUAUCACUGUUUGUCUAUCAAAUGUGUUUAAUAAAUUGCACCAGCUACAUCUGUACAGGACUGGUUUGUGCUGGCUGAAUUUCUAAUUUCCAAGGCCUGCUUAGAUGCCGUAGGGAAGAAAAAAGUGGAAAAAUCAUUGCAAAACUCCUGAAGACAAAACUAUUAGCACUUAUGAAACACAUUGCUGCCAUUUGUAUAGGCCAAAUGUGAUGUCAACUGCCUUAAACAUUUUGGAGAACUGAAAGAAUGCAAGCAGUGUCUGAGGGAUCCUUUUGUAAUGAAUUGUCUUUCUUGGGUUUUGGGUUUGUUUCUGUUAACUGCUGAGUUGCCCUAUAUGCAAGCAGUGCUGACAGCAGGAUAUGCCAUUAACCUAAUGCCACAGAGCUUUUCCUUGCCUCCAAGGUCCUUCUGCAAAAACAAAAGGCUCCAGCCAUAUUCUUUACUUUUCUCUAGAAAACACAGAAGACACUCAGACUGCGGUGUGUCAAGCAAUUACACAUGAUGUAUAGGGAAAAAAAUGUUUGUUCUUACAGCAACACAAUCAAGGUAAAAGGAAUGGAAAAAACCAGUACUGCCUGCGCUCAGAAAGCACAGCAAAUAUAAAACAUCUGC